AGAGUUUGAUCAUGGCUCAGAGUGAACGCUGGCGGCGUGCCUAACACAUGCAAGUCGAACGAGAACGGAUCUAGCUUGCUAGAUUGUCAGCUAAGUGGCGCACGGGUGAGUAAUGUAUAGCUAACAUGCCUCUUAGUAGGGAAUAACAGUUAGAAAUGACUGCUAAUACCCUAUACUCCUUUAUAAUGGGAAUUAUAAAGGGAAAGAUUUAUCGCUAAGAGAUUGGACUAUAUGAUAUCAGAUUGUUGGUGAGGUAAAAGCUCACCAAGUCUAUGACGUCUAACUGGUUUGAGAGGAUGAUCAGUCACACUGGAACUGAGACACGGUCCAGACUCCUACGGGAGGCAGCAGUGGGGAAUAUUGCACAAUGGAGGAAACUCUGAUGCAGCAACGCCGCGUGGGGGAUGAAGGUUUUCGAAUCGUAAACUCCUUUUAUAUUAGAAGAUAAUGACGGUAUAAUAUGAAUAAGCACCGGCUAACUCCGUGCCAGCAGCCGCGGUAACACGGGGGGUGCAAGCGUUACUCGGAAUUACUGGGCGUAAAGGGUGUGUAGGCGUCCUAUUAAGUCAAAUGUGAAAUCCUAUGGCUUAACCAUAGAACUGCAUUUGAAACUAAUAGGAUAGAGUUCAGGAGGGGUAAGUGGAAUUAGUGGUGUAGGGGUAAAAUCCGUAGAUAUCACUAGGAAUACCAAAAGCGAAGGCGACUUACUGGAAUGAUACUGACGCUGAGACACGAAAGCGUGGGGAGCAAACGGGAUUAGAUACCCCGGUAGUCCACGCCCUAAACGAUGAAUGCUAGUCGUUGUGAUGCUCUGACAUUGCAGUGAUGCAGCUAACGCAUUAAGCAUUCCGCCUGGGGAGUACGGUCGCAAGAUUAAAACUCAAAAGAAUAGACGGGGACCUGCACAAGCGGUGGAGCAUGUGGUUUAAUUCGAAGAUACGCGAAGAACCUUACCUGGCCUUGACAUAUGAUUGAAUCUGAUAGUAGUUACUAUCUGGAGUGCGUCAGUUUAGCUAGAGCUUGAAAACAGGUGCUGCACGGCUGUCGUCAGCUCGUGUCGUGAGAUGUUGGGUUAAGUCCCGUAACGAGCGCAACCCUUAUCAUUAGUUACUAACAGUUAGGCUGAGAACUCUAAUGAGACUGCCCUCGCAAGGGGGAGGAAGGUGAGGACGACGUCAAGUCAUCAUGGCCCUUACGGCCAGGGCUACACACGUGCUACAAUGGAAUGGUUAUAGAAGGAUGCAAUACCGCGAGGUGGAGCCAAUCCCUAAAACAUUUCUCAGUUCGGAUUGCUCUCUGCAACUCGAGAGCAUGAAGUUGGAAUCGCUAGUAAUCGCGGAUCAGCAAUGCCGCGGUGAAUACUGUUCUCAGGUCUUGUACUCACCGCCCGUCACACCAUGGGAGUUGAUUUCGCCUGAAGCUGGAAUACUAAAUUGGUUACCAUCUAUGGUGGAAUUAGCGACUGGGGUGAAGUCGUAACAAGGUAAC
rnacentral:rRNA from 1 species